CUUUUUUUUUGCUGUAAUUUAAGUAUAGUUGUAUGUAGUAUUCUCAAAAAUUGUUUACUUUUUCUUAUUUUAAAAACCGAUGAAAAAUAAUUGCUUCAAAACUUUUUUAUUGAAAUCUUAACUUUACACCUGAAAAAACGGCGUAAUGCUGAAAUAGGUUUAGUAGCAUAGAAAUUAUGACACGACAAUCGAUUUCACCACAUCCAUCAUGUAAUUUUUCUUUUUCUGGAUGUAUUUUCAUCAGUGAGUGCCUUUUCGACGAAAUAUCCAUCCAUCGAAUUGUCCAGUCAACUGUUCCAUAAAAUGGUUUUCGAUCAUUUGACCAAACGUCAUCCGACUAGGCUAAGUGUACCAGUUAUCGCCAUAGGGGUUACCUAUUCGGCCAAACCGAGUAUCUAGAAAAAUGUUUAUUCGACUGGGUCAACAAAGUUGAUUUUUCGGAACAAAGCUUUUCCGAUCCCUUUUGGCGUGCAAAACACCUGUGCAAAAUUUGGUAGUGAUUUAUUGCAUCUCCGUAUUCCGCAUUGCGAUUGAAAUUUGUAUGGAAAAACGUUCUUUUUUGCAUUAAUGGUGACCAACAAUUUUGAAACGAUCGUUACCAGUGCUGUGAAGUCCAAUCAAAACUAAAUAUAUUAAAAAACCUUUUAAAAACAACAGGUAAUGAAAAGGCAGGCCAAACACAAAUGGUUAGGCAAAUAUCUACACGGGAGACGAUAGACACUACGACCCUUGAGAAAGGCCAAAACCCUUCGGCCGAAACGUCGGGAGAGUAGGAAACAUUUCGUUCUCGACUUAAAGACUGAGUGUUGCGGAACCACUGAGCAUACUCGCACCGAAGUUGAGUGAGUUCAGUACCGCCCUAAGUCAUCAACGUCAGUCAGCCUGAGCAUAAACGUCAGGCAGCGAACAGCGUGGCGAACUAUCACUAGGAGCAUAAUUCAGAAUCGAACGAUACGUGAAGAAGUGCGCCCGUAAGGCCAAAUUGAAAAAUUAUAUUUAAGAUUUGAUGAAAUCGCGUGUGUAUUUUGAAAUCAGUUCAGCUGUAAUUACGUAGUCUUUGACAGUCGUGAACUAGGUAAUUCGAAUCAGUUGCGUCAUUGAAAUACCUAACGCUUAAUUGAAUGACAGAUAUCUAUUACCUACAUUACACUCGAAGCGCAGUUUGUUUAUUGAUUAUAGCUAACGUAUUCUAUCAAAUUAAAAUUACAUGCAAUAAUUUAACGUGCAGAAGUUUUGGAGGACAAAAACACAAAAAGCAACACGAAAAUCUUUGAAGCUGCUCUAUGCUGCUAUCGGAUCGUGUUUUGUUUCUCUCCUGAAUCCUACCGAAACACUGAGAAAGCCACCCAAAACAUCUAUCAAACAUCCAGUCGAAACCCUCUUGAAACACAUGAGUAUACAUGACUUGUAUAUGUAAAGAAGAUAGCAAGAUAAAAUUAAUAGAAAGAUACAAAGGAGGAGCAAAGGGACGGGCCAGGGAUUAAACCCAUGACCUUCUGCAUACGAAUCAGAAGCUGUAGCCACUAGACCACCAAGCCCAUCUUCCAAAAGUUUUUUCUUCAGAUUCGUUGGGACUGCAGGACAUUUUCCGAAAAAAAAAAAUCUGUAUGAGCUCCUACAUCGAUGUAUCCAGGAGUUUCUCGAAGGAUUUCUUCAAUAAUUCCUCCUACAAUUGCUACGUGGAUUUAUCCAGGGCUUUUCCUAGCGAUUCUUUCAAGACAUGCUGCUGGGAUUUCUCCAUACAUAUCUGCUUUGAUAGUCCAGAAUCUUCUGCUGUAGUUCCUCCAAGAUGUUGUCUGAUCAUUUCUAUAAGAACCCUUUCAGAUAUUUCCCUAAGAACUGGUCAUGCAUUCUUCCUAUGAUACCCCGAGGGAUUCCUUCAGGAACUCCUGCUGAAAUUCCUCCAGAAAUUUUUGCUGGUGUUCCUGUAGGACAUUUUUCCAGUAAUUUCUACAGGAGCUCCUCUAGUGAUGUAUUCAGAGAAUUCUGUAGAUAAUUCCUGUAUGAAUUACUCCGUGCAAUAGUCCAUGAAUAAAUUUACGGAAGGUACGAAUUUCCCAAAUGGAAGAGAACGCCAACCUACUGAUGAAUAAAUCUAGCAAUUUUCGUACGAAAAUCUUGAAUUCCUCCUAGGAUUCCAUCAGGGAUCCUUCUGGGAAUUUCUUAAAAUGUUCCUCUAUUAAUGCCUUCAGUUAUUACUCAUAUAGGCAUCCUAGAUUUUUCCUGGGCUACUUCUUGAUAUUCCUAUACGUAUUACUUGGUAUUACUUCUGAAAUUCCUUUAGAAAAUCUUGUUGAAAAUUCUCCUGGAACUCAUGCUAGAAUUUAUCAACCUAUUUCGGCUUUGAUUUCUUCUUAAUCUGCUCCAGAUAUUUCCCCAGCACUUUUCAGGAAUUCCUCCAUGAAUUUCUCAAGGAUAUUUCUUCAAAGAUUGCAAUAGGGAUUCUUUCAAUGAUUUUUUAGAAAAUGCUCUAGGAAUGCCUCUAUGGAUUUUUUUUUCGGAGAUUGCAGUAAGGAUUCUUUUGGAAAUUACUUCAGGGAUUUAUCCGGGGCUCCUGUAAUGGUUUUUGCAGAAGCUACUUACGGGAUUCCUUGUCUUGAGGGUUACGUUCCGUAAUUCCUCAGAUAAUUUCUCCAGAAAUUUCUCCAAGCAUUUCUUCAAAAAUUAGGAAUUAGCGGAAACGUUACCAAUUCGGGCUGUAUGAGUGUGUCAAUCAGAUGUUGGUUC